GGAGAGAUGGCCGAGUUGGUCGAAGGCGCACCCCUGCUAAGGGUGUAUACGCCAAAAGCGUAUCGAGGGUUCGAAUCCCUCUCUCUCCGCCA
rnacentral:tRNA from 2 species